UACGGGGGGGGCAAGCGUUGUUCGGAAUUACUGGGCGUAAAGGGCUCGUAGGCGGCCAACUAAGUCCGACGUGAAAUCCCCAGGCUUAACCUGGGAACUGCGUCGGAUACUGGAUGGCUUGAAUUCGGGAGAGGGAUGCAGAAUUCCAGGUGUAGCGGUGAAAUGCGUAGAUAUCUGGAGGAAUACCGGUGGCGAAGGCGGCAUCCUGGACCGACAUUGUCGCUGAGGAGCGAAAGCUAGGGGAGCAAACGGG
rnacentral:rRNA from 1 species